rnacentral:rRNA from 1 species
UGGUCGUCCCCGUCGGCGGCAGCGGCCGCCUGCGGUUGAGCUUCGGCGGCUGCGGCAGCUCGUGCGGGCGGAGCGCGGUGCCGAGACCGAGCCCGCGGGGCCGCGCGCCCGGCCGCAGGAGGAGGCGGAGCAGGCGCCGUGGGCGGUGCGGCCGGAGGGCGUGGCAGAUGUCGCUGGCGAAGUAGGGGUCGGCGUGGCCUAGGUUGGAGCGCGAGAAGCUGGAGCGGGGCCGGGGGAGGAGGAGGCGGAGGCCUAGACGGCGAGGAGGGAGUGGGAUGACGCGCGAGGAGGCGCGCCGCGAGAAGCCCGGGCUGUGCGGGCUGGCGGAGCGGAGGAGGCGGCCCCGGAGGAGGAGGAGGCGCCGGAGGGGGCAGCCGAGGGGGCGGCCGCCGUUGUAUAAGGCGAAGUUCCGGCUCCACGGCUCCUUGCGGUUCGCCCGCGAGAAGCGGCCGCCCCUGCUGGUCCUGGACGAGAAGGGGCCGUAGAAGUGGGGGUUCCCGAGGCCGGGGUCCUUCUAGGGGUCCAGCGGGAUGUUCCACGACCUACGCGGGCGUAACGUCCUGCUGAAGAUGGAGUUGGAGCACCUAACCAGAAGCGUGUUACAGGAGAGCCAGCCUAACCCCUUAACGCAGAUGGACACCUUACGUACGUCGUCGUUCCAGUGGUUCGAGACGCUAAACCCCCGCCUGCUGUGGCAAACAAGGCACUCAACCCGCGUCGCACCGUGGGUGGACCGACAUCCCUGAUUGGUUCCGUGGCAGGUCUAUACCCUACGUUGUGCGACAUUUUCUUACUCUUGGUACCUUUCGGUAGCGUACGCUCAUCCACGAGAACGUACCUUGAGAAGUAACGAAAGAAGACCGUCAGCACUGUUCUUGUAGGAAGUAGUACUAGAGGCACGAGGCCUCCUGAUACAAUCGUUUGAGUGGCCCGUAUUUAGACUCCAGACACCCGAGUUCACCAGAAUACUAUUGGCAGUCGAACGUAGACCACCUUUGCUGUUGUUUGAAAAACAAACCUUAGUUGUAAGUCAUGUCGGUCACGACUUCAUAUGACUCGUGUGUCGUCGACACUUUCGAUAACGGACCAGUGGAGUAGAUGUGCCGGAAGAACGUAGACCACCACCUUGACGUCUAUCCACGUAUUCUAAAACCUUAUGCUGGUGUUUAUGUGUGAACUCAAGGUACCUAUGUCCCUCAGUCCAGACAUUAGAACACACCAGUUUCUUACACUUACUCGAACAAUCGUGUGUGCCUAUGAGGGUCUUAGUCUAUUAUCACACCGCCAUAGGUUGCUACAGUUUCGAACGGUGCAACUGUCCUGUAUGUAAGUCUCAUAAUAUAAAUCGGUAGAGGGGACUACCUGUCCACUUUAUGAGGGAGAAACUAGGGAUAUAUACGAUACCUGGACUGUAAAACAAAAUC